AUUGAACGCUGGCGGCAGGCCUAACACAUGCAAGUCGAGCGGAUGAAGGGAGCUUGCUCCUGGAUUCAGCGGCGGACGGGUGAGUAAUGCCUAGGAAUCUGCCUGGUAGUGGGGGAUAAUGUCCGGAAACGGGCGCUAAUACCGCAUACGUCCUGAGGGAGAAAGUGGGGGAUCUUCGGACCUCACGCUAUCAGAUGAGCCUAGGUCGGAUUAGCUAGUUGGUGGGGUAAAGGCCUACCAAGGCGACGAUCCGUAACUGGUCUGAGAGGAUGAUCAGUCACACUGGAACUGAGACACGGUCCAGACUCCUACGGGAGGCAGCAGUGGGGAAUAUUGGACAAUGGGCGAAAGCCUGAUCCAGCCAUGCCGCGUGUGUGAAGAAGGUCUUCGGAUUGUAAAGCACUUUAAGUUGGGAGGAAGGGCAGUAAGUUAAUACCUUGCUGUUUUGACGUUACCAACAGAAUAAGCACCGGCUAGCUUCGUG
rnacentral:rRNA from 1 species